AGGAAGGUGCCUGGGAGGCUGCAGGAUGGUACCUCAGAGGCGGCAGGGGCUUUGUGAAGACGAGUAGGAGGGGUUGGGCAGACGGGGGUGGGGAUGCUACGUGGAAACUAACUUCUACCUUUGCUUUGACGAGUUAAAAAGAUAGCCAAUGCCACCCAAGAGAGAGGCGGGGGCCCCUUCAACAUCUCCCCCAAUGAAGAUGAUUAAGAUCGGCACAGACGGCCAAGAGUAUGGCUGUGACCCAGUGGAGAGCCGGUACAGACUGACAGAGGAGGGUUCCUACUCCCCAUACAUGAAUAAUGAGAAUGAACAUGUUUUUGAUGAAGAAAACUUAACCAGCACUGGCCUCAGAACAGACACCAUCAGCCUCCUCAUGAAGAUAGAGACACUGCAAGCUCAGUUAAAGUACGAGCGCAGGUGUCGGAUUCUGGCUGAGAGGGAGCUGCGGGAGCUUAAAGAGAUGAACACCCUAAUGAUGCAGAUGCGGCACACAGCCCACGAGCUGAGAGUGACUUUGGAUCACGUUCUUCAGACAAACGAGACACCGGUGACUCAGUCCGGUGCCCAGGACGAGUCAAUGUCUUAUAUCUCAGAGCCAGACAACGACAUGAGAGCUGUUCACAACAUACCAGAAGUGCAAAAUGUGCCCCCUGUUCAUACAAUGCCAGCAAUGCUCAAUGUACCGGAGGAUGAUGAGAAUUACCUCUAUCUGGCAGAGAACAUCCGAGUCCCCAGGAACCUCUACGAGCGAAUAGCGGAGAUCGAGGACUAUAAGAAGUACACAGGUGCAUUGCUCAUGAUGCUUUUCGACAGAGACACUUUGGCCACACACUCCCUACAGGGACGCCGGGGCACCCUAAGUGGAGCAGACGACUCCCAAAAACCGCAACUACCACCUGACAUCCUGAGAAAUAUCAUCGAACACAUUUCAAGAAAGUUUGGUGUCGACCACGGUCUUAUUAAAACUGCCAUCAGGACCAAGUUAAACAAUGAGGACAAACUGUUUAAGAAAAGGCAUGGGUUGUGCAAGUCUGAUCAUAAAGUGGCUCCUGUCUAUUGCCCAGAGAUAUUGACCAAAUCUGAAAAUAAGAUUGAAUCGGCCUAUUUUCCACUUUUGCCUGCCGACACAGCAGACAACAGAGGUGACUCUCAGCUGUAACUUCUCAUUCAAAUGAAGACUUUUGCCUUUGUUCACGUAUGUACAACUGUUCUAUGAUACUGUUCAGCACAUGUAACGCAACUGUACACUUUAUUUAUUGUAUUUGCUCGACCUCUAUAGCAUAUUCAUAAGUAUUUGGCACCUGUCUCGUCCACUGUGUGCAUUAACUUGUGACCAAACAAACAAAGCUGUCCAACAGCACCUUGAAAUGUAGUUCAACUAAGUGUUCUUAAUACGGUUUACUUCUUCAAGCUCGUAAUUGUCAGGUUUGUGACUUUUGUCUUGGUAACUAUACAGUACAUAGCAAUAGUCAUAUAGAGGCCUUAGAGUGUAAUAGCCAACUGAAAAUAAAAAAGGAUGCUUAAUGUAUCCUGAUGACAAAUUGUGCAUUACAAUGUGAUACUGUGAUCCUAGAUGCGUAUUUCGAACGUUUCAGUGCAAUGCUACAAUAACUAUCUUUGUUAAACAACACCUCUCACUGUGCAAUGUAUUUUGUUUAAUAUGAUUCAAUAAAAGUAAAAGCAAGUCUUUUUAAUUGUUUUGAUAAAGGUAAAUAUUGAGAUUUUGGUGCAGACUAGGGCUGCAACUAACGAUUAUUUUGUAAUCGAUUAAUCUAUCGAUUAUUUUUACGAUUAAUCGAUUGGCUUUGAAUGGUGUAUGAACAUUUUAUUUUUUCAAUUUUUUCAUCACAUGAAGCUAAAAUUGCACAUCUUAGCACUAAUUCUGCUUCUGAUUGGAUGAAACACAGACAGAUAUUCAUGAAAUUUACAAUGUACAAAAUAUUAC
ensembl:lncRNA